rnacentral:rRNA from 1 species
ACGGGGCGCAGCAGGCGCGAAACCUUUGCAAUGCACGCAAGUGCGACAAGGGAACUCCAAGUGCCCCCUUUUGGGGGCUUUUGUUUACUCUAAAUCGGUAGACGAAUAAAGACUGGGUAAGACCCGUGCCAGCCGCCGCGGUAAUACGGGCAGUCCUAGUGGUAUCCACGAAUACUGGGCUUAAAGCGUUCGUAGCCGGACUUAUCAGUCUUUGGUGAAAGCUUGUGACUUAAUCAUGAGAGUUGCCAGGGAAACAGUAAGUCUUGGAGUCGGGAUGGGUCAGAGGUAUUCCUUGGGUAGGAGUAAAAUCCUGUAAUCCUUGGAGGACCAACAGUGGCGAAGGCGUCUGACUUGAACGAGCUCGACGGUGAGGAACGAAAGCUAGGGGAGCGACCCGGAUUAGAUACCCGGUUAGUCCUAGCCGUAAAUGAUGCAGGCUUUGUGUCGCAUUCCGUACGUCGGAAUGCGGUGCCGAAGGGAAACCGUUAAGCUUGCCGCCUGGGAAGUACGGCCGCAAGGCUGAAACUUAAAGGAAUUGGCGGGGGAGUACUACAAGGGGUGGAGGCUGCGGUUCAAUUGGAUAAUACGCCAGACAACUCACCAGAAUUGACAGCAGAAUGAUGGUCACUCUAAUGGGGUUACCUGACGCGCUGAAAGGUGGUGCAUGGCCAUCGCCAGCUCGUGCUGUGAAGUGUCCUGUUAAGUCAG